GACGAACGCUGGCGGCGUGCUUAACACAUGCAAGUCGAACGGAAAGGCCCUGCUUUUGUGGGGUGCUCGAGUGGCGAACGGGUGAGUAACACGUGAGUAACCUGCCCUUGACUUUGGGAUAACUUCAGGAAACUGGGGCUAAUGCCGGAUAGGAGCUCCUGCUGCAUGGUGGGGGUUGGAAAGUUUCGGCGGUUGGGGAUGGACUCGCGGCUUAUCAGCUUGUUGGUGGGGUAGUGGCUUACCAAGGCUUUGACGGGUAGCCGGCCUGAGAGGGUGACCGGCCACAUUGGGACUGAGAUACGGCCCAGACUCCUACGGGAGGCAGCAGUGGGGAAUAUUGCACAAUGGGCGGAAGCCUGAUGCAGCAACGCCGCGUGCGGGAUGACGGCCUUCGGGUUGUAAACCGCUUUCGCCUGUGACGAAGCGUGAGUGACGGUAAUGGGUAAGGAAGCACCGGCUAACUACGUG
rnacentral:rRNA from 1 species